GACGAACGCUGGCGGCGUGCCUAAUACAUGCAAGUAGAACGCUGAAGGAGGAUCUUGCUUACCCGGAUGAGUUGCGAACGGGUGAGUAACGCGUAGGCAACCUGCCUGGUAGCGGGGGAGAACUAUUGGUAACGAUAGCUAAUACCGCAUAAUAGUAGAUGAUGCAUGAGAUUUGCUUAAAAGGUGCAAUUGCAUUACUACCAGAUGGUCCUGGGUUGUAUUAGCUAGUUGGGGGGGUAACGGCUCACCAAGGCGGCGAUACUUAGCCGACCUGAGAGGAUGGUCGGCCGCCCUGGGGCGGGAACACGGCCCAUGCUCCUGCGAGAGGGCGCAGUAGGGAACCUGCGGCAAUGGACGGGAGUCUGGCCGAGCGAGGGCGCGUGAGUGGAGGAGGUGUUCGGAGCGUGAAGCUCUGUUGUAAGAGGAGAACGGGUGUGAGAAUGGACAGUGCACUCUGUGACGGUACCUUACCAGAAAGCGACGGCUAACUACGUG
rnacentral:rRNA from 1 species